UGUCCCAUAAAUCGAGACUAGUAUGAAUGGCUAAACGAGGUCUUAACUGUCUCUUGCAGGCAAUCGGUGAAAUUGAUCUCCCUGUGCAAAAGCAGGGAUAAACACAUAAGACGAGAAGACCCUGUGGAACUUCAAAAUCAGCAGCCACCCCAAAAAUGACAUAAACACCCACCGGGUUCACUCCCAUAUAAGCUUCUGGCCUGCAUUUUUCGGUUGGGGCGACCUUGGAGAAAAACAAAUCCUCCAAAAAUUAGACCUUCCCUCUAGACUAAGAGCAACCCCUCAACGUGCUAACAGCACCCAGACCCAAUAUAAUUGAUCAAUGGACCAAGCUACCCCAGGGAUAACAGCGCAAUCUCCUUCGAGAGUCCAUAUCGACAAGGAGGUUUACGACCUCGAUGUUGGAUCAGGACAUCCUAGUGGUGCAGCCGCUACUAAGGGUUCGUUUGUUCAACGAUUAACAGU
rnacentral:rRNA from 1 species